GGUGAGGUGGCUCAUGUAGUAGAGCACUGCUUUGCAAAUAGGAGGCCCUGAGUUCAAACCUCAGUACCACCA
rnacentral:tRNA from 1 species